rnacentral:rRNA from 1 species
CCAUGCCGCGUGGAUGAUGAAGGCCCUAGGGUUGUAAAGUCCUUUCGGCGGGGAAGAUAAUGACGGUACCCGCAGAAGAAGCCCCGGCUAACUUCGUGC